AGCCGUGCUAGACGGGGAGGUAGCGGUGCCCUGUAACCCGCAAUCCGCUAUAGCGGGGUUGAAGUCCUGCCUGCGGCCUUUUUUCAUAAGGUCUGACCGGCGCAAGUGGCGUUGAAGAGCGGGUCCUGCGCAACGGAAACUUGUGAACCCCGUCAGGUCCGGGAGGAAGCAGCGGUAAGCAAGCCCUUUCGUGUGCCGCAGGGGAGCCUGUUCCGAGUUAACUACGUUGGUAACGCUUGGGAGAAAAGAGUCAAAGGCGGGUGCACGGCA
rnacentral:SRP_RNA from 1 species